ensembl:snoRNA
AGGGAAGUGAUGAUGCCUGUGAUUGUUGUGUGACACUGAUUUCUCUUGUAUUGGUACUGGCUGAUCCCA